rnacentral:rRNA from 1 species
UACUCCCCAGGCGAAGUGCUUAUUGUGUUAACUGCGGCACAGAAGGGGUCGAUACCCUCUACACCUAGCACUCAUCGUUUACGGCGUGGACUACCAGGGUAUCUAAUCCUGUUUGCUCCCCACGCUUUCGCGCCUCAGCGUCAGUUACAGUCCAGAAAGUCGCCUUCGCCACUGGUGUUCCUCCACAUAUCUACGCAUUUCACCGCUACACGUGGAAUUCCACUUUCCUCUCCUGUCCUCAAGAUGCCCAGUUUCCGAUGCACUCUCAGGGUUGAGCCCUGAUCUUUCACACCGGACUUAAACAUCCGCCUACGCGCCCUUUACGCCCAAUAAUUCCGGACAACGCUUGCCCCCUACGUAUUACCGCGGCUGCUGGCACGUAGUUAGCCGGGGCUUCCUCCUUGGGUACCGUCAUGUCCCUUCAAUAUUCUCAAAGAGACCGUUCUUCCCCAAAGACAGUACUUUACAAUCCGAAGACCUUCAUCAUACACGCGGCGUUGCUCCGUCAGACUUUCGUCCA